GAUGAACGCUGGCGGCGUGCCCAAUACAUGCAAGUCGAGCGAACAGACGAGGAGCUUGCUCCUCUGACGUUAGCGGCGGACGGGUGAGUAACACGUGGAUAACCUACCUAUAAGACUGGGAUAACUUCGGGAAACCGGAGCUAAUACCGGAUAACAUGUUGAACCGCAUGGUUCAACAGUGAAAGACGGUCUUGCUGUCACUUAUAGAUGGAUCCGCGCCGCAUUAGCUAGUUGGUAAGGUAACGGCUUACCAAGGCAACGAUGCGUAGCCGACCUGAGAGGGUGAUCGGCCACACUGGAACUGAGACACGGUCCAGACUCCUACGGGAGGCAGCAGUAGGGAAUCUUCCGAAAUGGGCGAAAGCCUGACGGAGCAACGCCGCGUGAGUGAAGAAGGUCUUCGGAUCGUAAAACUCUGUUAUUAGGGAAGAACAAAUGUGUAAGUAACUAUGCACGUCUUGACGGUACCUAAUCAGAAAGCCACGGCUAACUACGUG
rnacentral:rRNA from 1 species